rnacentral:rRNA from 1 species
GAUUGAACGCUGGCGGCAGGCCUAACACAUGCAAGUCGAACGGUAACAGGAAGAAGCUUGCUUCUUUGCUGACGAGUGGCGGACGGGUGAGUAAUGUCUGGGAAACUGCCUGAUGGUGGGGGAUAACUACUGGAAACGGUAGCUAAUACCGCAUAACGUCGCAAGACCAAAGAGGGGGACCUUCGGGCCUCUUGCCAUCGGAUGUGCCCAGAUGGGAUUAGCUAGUAGGUGGGGUAACGGCUCACCUAGGCGACGAUCCCUAGCUGGUCUGAGAGGAUGACCAGCCACACUGGAACUGAGACACGGUCCAGACUCCUACGGGAGGCAGCAGUGGGGAAUAUUGCACAAUGGGCGCAAGCCUGAUGCAGCCAUGCCGCGUGUAUGAAGAAGGCCUUCGGGUUGUAAAGUACUUUCAGCGGGGAGGAAGGGAGUAAAGUUAAUACCUUUGCUCAUUGACGUUACCCGCAGAAGAAGCACCGGCUA